rnacentral:rRNA from 1 species
UACGGAGGGGGCUAGCGUUGUUCGGAAUUACUGGGCGUAAAGCGCACGUAGGCGGCGACUCAAGUCAGAGGUGAAAGCCCGGGGCUCAACCCCGGAACUGCCUUUGAAACUAGGUAGCUAGAAUCUUGGAGAGGUCAGUGGAAUUCCGAGUGUAGAGGUGAAAUUCGUAGAUAUUCGGAAGAACACCAGUGGCGAAGGCGACUGACUGGACAAGUAUUGACGCUGAGGUGCGAAAGCGUGGGGAGCAAACAGG